CCUACGGGAGGCAGCAGUAGGGAAUUUUCCACAAUGGGCGAAAGCCUGAUGGAGCAACGCCGCGUGCAGGAUGAAGGCCUUCGGGUCGUAAACUGCUUUUAUGUGCGAAGAAUAUGACGGUAACACAUGAAUAAGGGUCGGCUAACUACGUGCCAGCAGCCGCGGUAAU
rnacentral:rRNA from 1 species